AUGUGCAUGCCUUUUCAACAGUCUUCAGGUAGGGUAGAGAUUGUGAAAGGGAGUAUCCACUGUCUCCAACGAAUCUCUUCUCCCACAGUUAUUUUCUGGGACACUGCACUAUACAACUUUAUUUGACGGCAGAACAAUCAGAGGCUGUAAGCUUGACACAUGGCAAAAUGCUUCUGCUGUUUCUGAGUCUCUGUUUGCUCACUUCUAAUGUCCAGUCAGAAAAACAAGAAUCCCUUCCCCUGGCAUUUCACACAGACUAUCCAACCCCGAAAUCGGUUCUAUCCCAGCCACCAUAAGGAAUGAGUCCUGUAUUGCUGCUGACCCUUCUGUAAACAGCAAGGGAAGUAACUGCAUAACUCUUGAUUCUGUCCCUGUUAGACCACGUGCUCCACAUCUGAGACACGGCUGCUAACAUUUGCGGUUUAGGACACUGUCGUCAACCCCCCCCCCCUGCAUCUUUGUUCUUCCCUGGCCUGUUGCCAACUCGCACGGCUGACAAGUGAGCAGAAUUGGAUUUGACUCUCAGAGCAGCCUGCGCUAUUUCGUUCCAGUAAGAAUGCUGAGCCACUACACGGCAAUAGCACAAUGCCGUAUCUACACUGGACCGUGAAUGUUCGUCUUGUGAGAUUGUUACAUUACUUGUUAGUUUUCACUGCAUGGUCGCAAAUAGAAGCACAAGCACUUUGUCAUUAUGAGGUAUUAUGUGUAAAACAUAUAUUUAAUCAAAUUAGUAAAACAACUAAAUGUGAAAUAAGUCCAGGGGUCUUCAACGUUUCUGAAGGUGCAGUACAUGAUAAUUGUUUAUUCUAGUGUGCCCACAAGACUUACAACACUAUGAUAUUAUGUUGCAUGUUCAUUCCUUGAUAUAGUUUGAUACCCAAUAUUAUCCAUUGAUAUCCGAUACUAUGUUGCUUGUUGAUUAAUUCAUGUCCUUGUUUGU